rnacentral:rRNA from 1 species
AACGUAGGUGGCAAGCGUUAUCCGGAUUUACUGGGCGUAAAGGGUGUGCAGGCGGGCCAUCAAGUGGUGUAUGAAAUCGCUCGGCUCAACCGGGCGCGGUUAUGCCAGACUGAUGGUCUAGAGUCUGAAAGAGGGUGGUGGAAUUCCGGGUGUAGUGGUGAAAUGCGUAGAGAUCCGGAGGAACCCCAGAGGCGAAGGCGGCCACCUGGUUCAGCACUGACGCUCAGACACGACAGCAUGGGGAGCGAACGGG